UCAGUAAAUUUGGGUCCAAUUAUGACCAUCUUAUGGGCGGCAUCUUGUGUUUCUUACUGGCUAAUGUUUUGUUUUGUUUUUUUCCCAAAGCAUGUGUGCCAGCGUCGGUUCUUGUAUCAGAAUGUGAAAGAUUUUGCUGAAAUAUAUAAUUAUCUUCUGCACUAUGAUCCUGGGUUUUUGGUUCUUCAGGUCAGUCAAGUUUGGUCCUUCAGCUCCAAAGCAACUAGAGUUUCUUAUCCUCGUGUUUCUUACCCUCGUGUUUCUUUGCAUGUCACUUGUUGUUUCUUGACUCCACUUCCACUCUGUGUUCUCAUCUUUUUUUGGUGAAGACACCAGAGUGUCUUCAGUGUUGAGAAACGCUGAGCGUGCUGGAACUCGUCCUGGUGAAAUCUGCUCCGAUCUGAGCCAGCAUGCUGGCCGCCGCGUCGCGCUCAGUUCUGCUCCUACGUUCCUGCACAGCAGCCUGCUUGGAGCCCAAAACAACAACAACAGCAAAGGAAAUGAAAUCUGACAGCCAGAGAGCAAGAGGCAGUGAAAACAAAACAGCAAAAGGAGUUAGGGAUGGUUGGCUGCUUCCUGAACCUCCUGGCUGCCAGGGCGCUGAGAGCGGGCCAGAACCAGAACCAGAACCCGCUGGUGGGAUAACAACUCCCAGCUGGCCUGGGAGUGACCGCUGAUCCCAGACCAGGAGGAGGAGGAUGGUGAAGGGGGAGAAGAAGGACAUUUGGGGCGCGAUGAAGAACUUGGACGGAUGGAUGAAUGAAUAAUUUCCUGGGACAAUGGAAACAAGAAACUACAGCUGUCCAAAGCAACAUGUUCAGAAAAAAACUAAAUAAAAAAAGGUUCUUUUCAACUUUU